UACGGGGGGGAGCAAGCGUUGUUCGGAUUUACUGGGCGUAAAGGGCGUGUAGGCGGUCCGCUAAGUCUGAUGUGAAAGCCCGAGGCUUACCCUCGGAAGUGCAUUGGAGACUGGCGGACUGGAGUCCCGGAGAGGAGGGUGGAAUUCCUGGUGUAGCGGUGGAAUGCGUAGAGAUCCGGAAGAACACCGGUGGCGAAGGCGGCCUGCUGGGCAGUUGCUGACACUGAGGCGCGACAGCGUGGGGAGCAAACAGG
rnacentral:rRNA from 1 species